rnacentral:rRNA from 1 species
UACGUAGGGUGCGAGCGUUAAUCGGAAUUACUGGGCGUAAAGAGUGCGUAGGCGGUUCUCCAAGUCCGUUGUGAAAGCCCCGGGCUCAACCUGGGAAUGGCAUUGAUGACUGGCUCGCUAGAGUACGGCAGAGGGGGGUGGAAUUCCACGUGUAGCAGUGAAAUGCGUAGAGAUGUGGAGGAACACCGAUGGCGAAGGCAACCCCCUGGGCUGAUACUGACACUCAUGCACGAAAGC